rnacentral:lncRNA from 1 species
UCAAGAAUUGCAUGAAGAGCAGUGCCGGAGCUGCUACUUCCAUUGAAACAAUAGCCCUCACCUCAUCAUCCUCACAGUAUCAACAAGCCUUGCAAUCAUUCGAACAGAAUCCAAGAUGGGUGAAUUCCUCAUCAACCUCAACCUCACCCACUACGCCUCUUGUCAUUCUCACGCCUCUCACUGCUUCUCAGAUUCAAGCUGCCAUUCUCUGCACCAAGAAACUUGGCAUGCAGAUCAGAGUCAGAAGUGGCGGCCACGACUACGAAGGCCUUUCCUUUCUCUCUUAUUCCAAGGCCCCAUUUGUGAUGCUUGACCUCAACAAGCUCCGCUCCAUCGACAUCAACCUUGCCGACGAGACAGCCUGGGUUCAAGCUGGCGCUACACUCGGUGAACUCUACUACAAGAUCUCCAAAGCAAGUGCACUCCAUGGAUUCCCUGCAGGACUAUGUCCAAGCAUUGGACUGGGAGGCCACAUCAGUGGUGGAGGAUUUGGCACCAUGCUCAGGAAGUUUGGAACUGCAGCAGAUAAUGUUGUCGAUGCCACCGUCAUCAAUGCAAAUGGCACAAUUCUUGACAGAAAAUCAAUGGGAGAAGACCUCUUCUGGGCCAUCAGAGGAGGCGGCGGAACCAGCUUCGGAGUGGUUCUUUCAUGGAAGAUCAAGCUGGUCCGAGUUCCGCCUGUUGUGACGGCAUUCAACGUCCAAAGAACGGUGGCGGAAGGAGCAACAAAGCUCAUUCUCAAGUGGCAAACCAUAGCAGAUAAGCUGCCUAAGGAUCUUUUCAUCAGGGUGGUUGCGCAGAACACCGGCGCCAAUUCAGCAACAGUGCAAGUGUUAUUCAACUCUUUCUUCCUGGGAGGAAUAGACAGAUUGAUGCCGAUAAUGAAGCAGAGCUUCCCUGAGUUAGGGUUGCAGGCCAAGGACUGCACUGAAAUGACAUGGAUCCAAUCUGCUCUGUUCUUUGGUGGACACAGCAAAGACGACGCUCCGGAGGCGUUGCUGGACCGAGUGACGACAUUCAAGAGCUCAUUCAAGGCCAAAUCCGACUACGUAAGGAAGCCUAUACCGGAGGCAGGGCUUGAAGGCAUCUGGAAGUUGCUUUUGAAAGAAGAUGUGCAGGCAUUGCUUAUAAUGGAGCCCUAUGGCGGAAGGAUGAGUGAGAUUCCAGAAUCUGAAAUCGCAUUUCCUCACAGGAAAGGGAAUCUCUACAACAUACAGUACAUGGUGAAGUGGGAUGUGAAUACCGCGGAGGCAUCCAGAAGGCAUGUGAGGUGGAUGACAAGUCUUUACAGUUAUAUGACUCCUUAUGUUUCCAACUCUCCAAGGGCCGCCUAUGUCAACUACAGAGAUCUUGAUAUUGGCACUAACAAACGUCAUAACACCAGCUUCGCGGAAGCAAGUGUUUGGGGGAUCAAGUACUUCAAGGCCAACUUCAUCAGAUUGUCGCAGAUUAAGGAAAAGGUUGACCCACACAACUUUUUCAGGAACGAACAGAGCAUUCCUCUCUUUAGCUGAAUUCAAUUCUUACUUUUCAUUUCAUUAUUAUUUAUUAUGUAUGCUUGUUUGUAAUAAGUAACUCCAACCAUCUGGCAUUAUUUAUUGAGUAAAUGCUCAAAAUGUUCCUUGAAUUUCAAAUUUUAUUUAAUUUAGUCUUCCACUUUUUAAAAUAAUCAAUUAAAUGCUUGAAAUUCGAAAAAGUACAUUUCUGUUAGUUCUUUACAAAAGUGUCUUUUACACAUUGAUGAUGUGGCAUUCCAGCUGUAUGGUGAUGUGUACUAAACUUGAAUUUGAUUCAAAUUGGUACCUGAAAUCGCUUAAUAAUAUUUAAAUCAGUCCAUUUUCAAUUGUAAAACCCUAAUCCCUAAAUUAUUAUCUUCUCUUCUUUGAUUGUCUUCUUCUCUUCUUCAUCCUCUCCGCUAUUUUCCAGUUCAUAUUCAUUCUGAACUACAAGAUCAGUACACUUACCUAAAAACUAUUUUGAUUACAAGUUAAUGCGAUUGGAUUAAUUUUAAAUUCAACACAGAUUUAAAUUAUAUGUAUUCGUCCAUUAAGCUAAAAUAUAUUUUCCACUUUUAAUAAGGUAAUCAUUAUCAUCAUCUUCAAGAUCUUAACAUCACUUUCUAAAUUUGUUAUUUUUCAAUUGAACUCAUGCAAAAAAUUUUGUGAAAUGGGUGUUGCACAAACUGGUUCUUCGCCUCCAUCAACCCAACAGAAAAAAUUACAAUAAAUUCCAUACUACAAAGUAAAAAACGCAGGUGAAUCCAAACUCAAAGUGAAACUAUCUUAACAUUUUCUUUAGAGCCAUAACCUUACCUCAUAGUUUGGACAACCAUAAAAUAGUCUAGCAGAAUUCUCUGUUGUCGUUGAAUACUUCAUCACCAUCCGAAGUCUGCAAUUACAGAAAACGGCGUUCCUACUUCCCCUGUUGUACAUUCCUUUGCUGUCAUAAGGUCUCCCUACAGAGUUGUUCUUACUUGAGCUACUUUGCCUUCUCUCCCCACCACCCAUCAUCACUCAUGCAGACGAGAAAAGAAGAUAAACUGAAAGAUAGUGGAGAGUUCGAAGAAGAGAAGAAGACAGCAGAGAGAUCGAAGAAGAGAAGUCAAUAAUUUGGGAAUUAGAGUUUUAUAAUUGAAAAUAGACUAAUUUGGAUAUUAUUAAGUAAUUUUAGGUACCAAUUUGAAUCAAAUUCAAAUUUAAUACACAUCAGUAUACAUCCGGAAUGUCACAUCAUCAACAUUUAGAUGACAUUUCUGUAAGAGACUAACGGAGAUGCACUAUUUCGAAUUUCAGGGAUUUAAUUGGUCAUUUUAAAAAGUUGAGGACUAAAUUGAAUAGCAAUUUAAAAUUUAGGGAUCAUUUUAGACAUUUACUCGUUAUUUCUUUUUCAAAAUUAGAUGCUAUAAAAGAUCAUAAAUUUCAUAUAUUCUACAUUACACCAAGGCUAUUAAUAGCCAUCAGUUUUCCAUGGGGUAUUUCUAACUACAAUGUUAAAGAAAACUAAACUAUAGAAAGGGAUAAAAGCACAUUCGUAGUAAGAGAAUUUGUCUAUUGAGUAGUUCAAUUAUUGGACGACUUGUGCUCCAACAAUUCAGUCUUGUAUCUUUCCUUAUCUCUCAGCCCUUUCUCCUGAUAAACCUGCAUGACAUUUUACAAAAAGUCAUAUGAGAAAGUCUUGGUGAUAAUUGCAACUUCUAGCUUCGACACAUUUCUUGAGAUUAGAAUGUUUAUUCCACAAAACACACAUGCUUAUAGGCGAACAUUACAGUACUACUUUCAAUUCACAAACUUCCACAGAAGUAUAUGUAUAAAAAUUUAAAGCACCAAGCCUUUAUCCAAAUGCAAAACUGAGCAUCAGUACCUGUCUUUCUGCUUCUGUUAGAUUGUUCCAUAGAAACCCAAUCCUCUUACUAAUCGCUCUCUCUUCACCAUGGAAUAAGGGCCUCAACCUGGCAUAAUUCUCAGCAAAGAAGAAAUAGUAGCCACUCUUGUUUGACUUCGGCCGAGAUGGAUCGCCUAAUGCCAAUCUAGAUUUCUUUCGUUUCCGUGAACCAUGGACACCAACAGUAUUAGAACUCUGGGACAAACUGAUGGGAACAUGGUAUAGAAUACCUUUCACCUGUUCAGAACCCAGAUUCACUGUAACUAUAUAACCACCAUCAAACUUCCCAUCAAUUGUUCCAGGCACCACAGAACCAAGCUGCUGUGUUUUACCGGCUGCAUAUAAGAAAGACAAUGCUUAGCGGUUAUCACAUAUUCAAAGCAUAUUGCUUUAGUAGGAAGACACAGACUCUACUUUACAUCCACCACUGCUGUUAUUCCGAGAAGCAUGAGAAGUGAGCAAAAGCAGACAGAGAUACAAGUGUGCAUAUGAAGCAACCAAAGCAGCAAACAAAUCAGAUCUAAAUGCUCCAUUCACUAAUCCUGAACAUGCAAACCAUUCAAAGCAGUACCUUCACCAAAGGGUGUGAAGCUAUCAACGAGACUCCUAUUUGCAGGAUCUGGAUAUACGGUAUAAGAAAUAACUUAUGCGUCAAAAAAGGAAAGAUCACAAGCAUAAUUAGAUGGGGGAAAGAGAGAACCUUUUUUUGUUUCGCCAGGUGUUGAGGAAGGAGGGACUUGUUUCCGAAAGUAAUACGCUUGCUCAAAGUGACAAAGCAAUGAUAGAUAGUAUCUGCGCACCAUAAAUGAUGCGCUUGUAAAAGACAUUGAGGUUGGAAGCUAAAGACUGCAUUGAAAUGAGUUGGAUUGAGUCAACAGUGUACUUUGCGGGAUACAGAAUAUGGGAACCAGCACAAGUGUUGCUCAACAGAAUCACCACUUACAAGAGCUCCUUCAAGGCCAAGUCUGACUUUGUGAUGGAUCCUAUACCGGAAAUUGGGCUACAAGGGAUUUGGAAUUUGCUUCUAAGAGAAGAUGCAUUGGCAUUGCUAAUAAUGGAUCCCUACGGUGGUAGGAUGAAUGAGAUAUCAGAAUAUGAAAUCCCUUUUCCACACAGGAAGGGAAACUUGUACAACAUACAGUACUUGGUUAAGUGGGAUGACAACAGCAUUCAAGCAUCCAAUAGGCAUGUAAAUUGGAUGAGAAUGCUUCAUAGCUAUAUGACUCCAUAUGUUUCAAGAUCCCCAAGAGCUGCAUAUGCCAACUAUAGGGAUCUUGAUUUAGGUAGAAACCGCAAUCAUCAUACUCCUAACACAAGCUACUCAGAAGCAAGUGUUUGGGGUUUGAAGUACUUCAAGGGAAACUUCAAGAGAUUGGCACAAAUUAAGACAAGGGUUGAUCCCCAUAACUUUUUCAGGAAUGAACAGAGUAUUCCUAUCUUAAACUGACUUUCUUUUCCCUUUAUUUCUUAUAAGAGCACGAGUGAUAUUAUGUUGAACAUAUGCAUUGUGUGUCGUAAUAAACUAAACUAAGCUUAACUAAGUUUUUUAUUCCCCCUUUUACCCCUGCUCUCAAGUUAUUGAUUGCAGUUUGCCAAAAAAGCGCCAAGGGAUAAUAAGUAAUUAAUAAGGCAACGGGAACAUUCUUCUUUUGACCUAUAUGCACUGGUGCACUUAAUAUAAGUGACCUACACAGACCAAUGUAUAUAAAAUAUAGAUAUUAUGACCUACCAAUACUAUCAUGUCAAUAAGCGUGUGCUCUGAAGAAUAGUUUGGGCCAUCUUGUGGUCAACUCAGACACUUGUAAAGCAGAAGCUAAGAGUGGGGGUAGUGGAACUUUAUCUCACCACAUUAUACUACUGAAUACUGAUGCCAAUAUUUGUUAAUGCAUUGAAUGUUAAUACAUAGAGGAGGGAUAGGGCAGCAACUUUUAUGCUUUGUAGCCAUCAAAUAGCCAUUAAUGAUGAUUUUAAUGAUGUGAGAUUGGUGUGAGAUUUUAUCCAAUGACUCACUUUUUUUUGCUAGUUACAUGCUGGACAGAAUUUAAAAAAGUUGCUGGCCCCUUAGACUUUUCGUAAUAGAUAUACGAUACAUCAUACCAAGUUUUAAUUGUAUGUAAACUUGAAUGAAAGUUAAAACUUAAAACACUAGAUACGUGAAGUGUUUCCAACUCUCGAUGUACUUCAAAUAAUCAUACAUGAAAAACCACUCUAUGAUAUUGUAAUAUAUAUAUAUAUAUAUAUAUGUCAUUUAUCACUGUUCGCAAAUGGUUUGGCCAGCUUUAAUUUUGGUCAAUUAAAUUACGUAUAUUGAAUUUUUUAUUAGAUUAUACAUAAUAAUUAUGUGGGAACGGGAACUAACACCACAUGUAUAUACAAGAUUCUGUCUAAAUUUUAUGAUUUUCUCAGAAUUUCUUUUCAAAGACUAUAAUUAAAAAACAUAAUAUCCGUUUAAAGUAUUCUAAAGAUCCAAAUAUGCUGGUUAUUUUUUUAAUUAAAAAAUAUAUGAUCUAGGAUUGAAUUAUUUGUGAAAAAACUAAAGAGACUACUAUGUGUUCCAGCUUUAGAAAGGAGAGAAAGAUUCGAGUUAUUGCAUUGAGACGUGGGCGGCGCCACAAAAGAAGACGAAUGAAACGCGCAUGUCACCCGAUUCAUAGUUGACCCUCCAAAGAAUACACACACAUGCUAAAAUAACAUGAAAAUUCUACCUAGCUACUUACGUGCAGCUGAGCAUCUCUCUCUAUAUAUAUAGAUAGAUAUAUGGGGACGAUUCCAUCAUUGACAACAGAAAAUAACAAAGCUAGAAAUGAUGGCUUAUUAUGUGAUUGUGUUUCUUGCAUUGAUCUCGUAUGCAGGCUCUGUUGAGGAGCAGAGUGUAAGUUUCAAGAAUUGCAUGAAGAGCAGUGCUGGAGCUGCUACUUCCAUUGAAACAAUAGCCCUCACCUCAUCAUCCUCACAGUAUGAACAAGCCUUGCAAUCAUUCGAACAGAAUCCAAGAUGGGUGAAUUCCUCAUCAGCCUCAACCUCACCCACUACGCCUCUUGUCAUUCUCACGCCUCUCAGUGCUUCUCAGAUUCAAGCUGCCAUUCUCUGCACCAAGAAACUUGGCAUGCAGAUCAGAGUCAGAAGUGGCGGCCACGACUACGAAGGCCUUUCCUUUCUCUCUUAUUCCA